UACGAGCGGCCCAAACGUUAUUCGGAAUUACUGGGCUUAAAGAGUUCGUAGGCGGCAUUGCAAGUAGGGUGUGAAAGCCCUCGGCUCAACCGAGGAAUUGCGCUCUAAACUGCAGUGCUCGAGGAACCUAGAGGUGAGCAGAACAGAUGGUGGAGCGGUGAAAUGCGUUGAUAUCAUCUGGAAUACCGGAGGCGAAGGCGGCUCACUGGGGGUUUUCUGACGCUGAGGAACGAAAGCCAGGGUAGCGAACGGG
rnacentral:rRNA from 1 species